ACAAUGCUAUAACUGCCUCUGUUUCAUGUUUCAUGUAUCUUUCAUGAGAAAUCGAAUUUGACAUGUCAACUUGUGUGGCUUGAAGAUUAUUAAGAAAAAAUAAGGUGGCAAAGCAGCAGUCUGACUUCAAUGGAUGGGUUUCUGGUACCCUAUCACAACUUCGUAACCUCCCAAUUCGCCUAUUGUAAUUGUUGCAUGCAUGCUGCAUCUUUGUUUGACAAUUCACUUGUUCUCUAGGGGUGUGAGAUCUGCAUAUACACAAUUACUAGCUAUAUUACUGCUAGCUCCGAGCUACUGUUAUUGAGAAUGGGUAUAACAAGGAAGAAAUGAAAAUGGCGAAGGAGACCAACAAAUUUGGGUUCUGUGAUGUACUGAUGUGUGUGCACAUGUUGAAAGUGUCAAUCUAUAGUUUGAAAAGCUACUCGAUGAGGAUCAUAGAAGCAUGUCAAUAAACAUAGGCGAAGAUAGAUUGAGAAUCGAAGAGAAGUGUCUGUCGGCUUGUGCAAAGCUUUUUAAAUAGAACUAGAAUGCAAUGUGUAAGUUUUAAGGGAAUAUGUAAUAUCUAAAUGUAUGGGGAUGAUUAAUUUUGUUGCUGACUCUAUUGCUCUAAUAUUAAAUGAAUACAUUUCAUGUACUUUUUCAUCCGUA